GACGAACGCUGGCGGCGUGCCUAAUACAUGCAAGUCGAACGAGCGGCGGACGGGUGAGUAAUGUAUGGGGAUCUGCCCGAUAGAGGGGGAUAACUACUGGAAACGGUAGCUAAUACCGCAUACCAUCGGAUGUGCCCAGAUGGGAUUAGCUAGUUGGUGAGGUAACGGCUCACCUAGGCGACGAUCCCUAGCUGGUCUGAGAGGAUGAUCAGCCACACUGGGACUGAGACACGGCCCAGACUCCUACGGGAGGCAGCAGUGGGGAAUAUUGCACAAUGGGCGCAAGCCUGAUGCAGCCAUGCCGCGUGUAUGAAGAAGGCCCUAGGGUUGUAAAGUACUUUCAGUCGGGAGGCGUUACCGACAGAAGAAGCACCGGCUAACUCCGUGCCAGCAGCCGCGGUAAUAC
rnacentral:rRNA from 1 species